UACGUAGGGUGCGAGCGUUAAUCGGAAUUACUGGGCGUAAAGCGUGCGCAGGCGGCUUUGCAAGACAGAUGUGAAAUCCCCGGGCUCAACCUGGGAACUGCAUUUGUGACUGCAAGGCUAGAGUACGGCAGAGGGGGAUGGAAUUCCGCGUGUAGCAGUGAAAUGCGUAGAUAUGCGGAGGAACACCAAUGGCGAAGGCAAUCCCCUGGGCCUGUACUGACGCUCAUGCACGAAAGCGUGGGGAGCAAACAAG
rnacentral:rRNA from 1 species